rnacentral:rRNA from 1 species
UACGUAGGAGGCAAGCGUUGUCCGGAAUUACUGGGCGUAAAGCGCGUGUAGGUGGUGGGACAAGUCUGCUGUGAAAUCCCCAGGCUUAACCUGGGAAGUGCGCGGAAAACUGGCGAGCUUGAGUGCCGGAGAGGGUCGCGGAAUUCCCGGUGUAGAGGUGAAAUUCGUAGAUAUCGGGAGGAACACCAGUGGCGAAGGCGGCGACCUGGACGGACACUGACGCUGAGACGCGAAAGCGUGGGGAGCAAACAGG